GUGAAUCAUCAAAUUUUUGAACGCAAAUUGCACUCUCUUCUAAGAGUAUACCUGUUUGAGGGUCAGCCUAAAAAAAAUCAACGUAGUCGCUGUUUUGCGGUGUCAUUCGUUGGAAAUUGGGUCAUCUUAAACCUUUGGGAUUUUUAAGCGGCUUAAAAUUUUCUUUAUGAUUUUACAAACGUUUAUAAGAUUUUACUUCUUACACACGUUUAGGUUAUUGAUCUUUAUUAUACGUCGCCGUUGCAUGGGAUCGCUUCCCUUAAU
rnacentral:misc_RNA from 1 species